rnacentral:piRNA from 1 species
UAGAAAGCAUUAUUAUCAAUAUGCCUUU